rfam:Felis catus isolate Cinnamon breed Abyssinian chromosome A3, whole genome shotgun sequence.
GCCUGGUUGGCUCAGUCGGUUAAGCGUCCGACUUCAGCUCAGGUCAUGAUCCCGUGGUCCGUGGGUUCGAGCCCCGCGUCGGGCU